ACAUGGGUGUAACUCUCCUCUGCUGGGAAAGAGAAACUUGGAUAACUGAAGGUAUCAGGCCUGUCUGCUUCUCUUCAGUCAGUUGUAAGGCAUUCGUAAGGGUGAAGAUGGUAGUCUUCAGUUUCAUCCCAGACAUGUCUCCAUAUUACUGCAGUGCCCAAAUGGAUCCAAGGCUGCGUGUGAGUUGUUCGAGAAAACAAAAAUUUUCUGCUGACUAAUGAGUCUCUGACUUCCUCCAGUCUACCAAAUGUUCUAGUCAGUAAGCUACUUUAGCAAACAAAGGAGAAUGGAGAGAGGGAUGGCUGGAAACAACAGAAAGGAAGAGAAAGAGAGACCUCUUUGAUGGCAACUAACAACAUGGAAUCUCUGUUUCUGCUUUUCCAUUUUUGAAACAUUUUCUGUAAGGCAGAGAAAUACAAAUGUUUGAAUCUUUGUGAGGUUACUUCAUAGAUAAUUAAACAAUUUAAAUGCUGAGAUUUUAAAAUUGCUUAAGCAACAUAGAAGCUUAAUUGUGCUCAAUAAAAG
rnacentral:lncRNA from 1 species